AGAGCCUCCUGUACAAGAACCCCCAGCAUCCUCAGAACACAGUGAAUGUAUUCCCUCUGCCAGUGCAGAAGUGGGACCAGAAGCUCGGAGCCUCAUAGACCCUGACUCUGAUUCUAGAAAUAAUUCUGGUUUUGACAAAGUAAGGCAGCCAGAAGGGUGUGUGGAACCUCUCCGGCCACAGUCGGGAAAUACCAACACAGAAUCUUUGCCAUCAGGGUAUGUCCAGAAAAUGGUUUUAAUGUUUGACUUCCAUUUAAUUAGAAAUUUUCUUAUGAAUUAUGACUAUUAGAUAUCUAUAUGAAAUGUUUCUUUUUUUUUUUUAAAUUAAGGUAGGGACUGGAGAGGUGGUUUAGCAGUUAAAAGUACACGUUUUUUGCAGAAGGCUCAAAUUUCAUUCCCGUGUACAUGACACAAGGUUAGAAAUUCACCUCUAGGAUACCAUGCCUCUGAUCUCUGUCAGCAUCUUCACUCAUGUGCAUACAUAUCCACACACCCAUGCACUAACACACACAUACACUUAAUUAAAAAUAAUAAAAAGUCAUAAAAUUUAACCCU
rnacentral:lncRNA from 1 species